rnacentral:misc_RNA from 1 species
AAGUCGUAACAAGGUUUCCGUAGGUGAACCUGCAGAAGGAUCAUUACCUAGAGUUUGUGGGCUUUGCCCGCUACCUCUUACCCAUGUCUUUUGAGUACUUACGUUUCCUCAGCGGGUUCGCCCGCCGACUGGACAAAAUUAAACCCUUUGCAGUUGCAAUCAGCGUCUAAAAAACAUAAUAGUUACAACUUUCAACAACGGAUCUCUUAGUUCUG